rnacentral:rRNA from 1 species
GAUGAACGCUGGCGGCGUGCUUAACACAUGCAAGUCGAACGAAGCACUUUUUUUGAUUUCCUUCUGGGCUGAUUAUUUUGUGACUGAGUGGCGGACGGGUGAGUAACUCGUUUUUAACCUGCCUUGUACAGGGGGAUAACAGUUUGAAACGGCUGCUAAUACCGCAUAAGCGCCCAGCAUCGCAUGAUGCAGUGUGAAAAACUCCGGUGGUAUAAGAUGUACCCGCGUUGGAUUAGCUAGUUGGUGAGGUAACGGCCCACCAAGGCGACGAUCCAUAGCCGAGAUGAGAGGGUGACCGGCGACAUUGGGACUGAGACACGGCCCAAAAUACUACGGGAGGGAGCAGUGGGGAAUAUUGCACAAUGGGCGAAAGAAUGAAGGAGCGACGCCGCGUGAGCGAAGAAGUAUUUCGGUAUGUAAAGCUCUAUCAGCAGGGAAGAUAAUGACGGUACCUGACGAAGAAGCACCGGCUAAAUACGUG